UUAAGCGACUAAGCGUACACGGUGGAUGCCCUGGCAGUCAGAGGCGAUGAAGGACGUGCUAAUCUGCGAUAAGCGUCGGUAAGGUGAUAUGAACCGUUAUAACCGGCGAUUUCCGAAUGGGGAAACCCAGUGUGUUUCGACACACUAUCAUUAACUGAAUCCAUAGGUUAAUGAGGCGAACCGGGGGAACUGAAACAUCUAAGUACCCCGAGGAAAAGAAAUCAACCGAGAUUCCCCCAGUAGCGGCGAGCGAACGGGGAGCAGCCCAGAGCCUGAAUCAGUGUGUGUGUUAGUGGAAGCGUCUGGAAAGGCGCGCGAUACAGGGUGACAGCCCCGUACACAAAAAUGCACAUGCUGUGAGCUCGAUGAGUAGGGCGGGACACGUGGUAUCCUGUCUGAAUAUGGGGGGACCAUCCUCCAAGGCUAAAUACUCCUGACUGACCGAUAGUGAACCAGUACCGUGAGGGAAAGGCGAAAAGAACCCCGGCGAGGGGAGUGAAAAAGAACCUGAAACCGUGUACGUACAAGCAGUGGGAGCCUCUUUAUGGGGUGACUGCGUACCUUUUGUAUAAUGGGUCAGCGACUUAUAUUCUGUAGCAAGGUUAACCGAAUAGGGGAGCCGAAGGGAAACCGAGUCUUAACUGGGCGUUAAGUUGCAGGGUAUAGACCCGAAACCCGGUGAUCUAGCCAUGGGCAGGUUGAAGGUUGGGUAACACUAACUGGAGGACCGAACCGACUAAUGUUGAAAAAUUAGCGGAUGACUUGUGGCUGGGGGUGAAAGGCCAAUCAAACCGGGAGAUAGCUGGUUCUCCCCGAAAGCUAUUUAGGUAGCGCCUCGUGAAUUCAUCUCCGGGGGUAGAGCACUGUUUCGGCAAGGGGGUCAUCCCGACUUACCAACCCGAUGCAAACUGCGAAUACCGGAGAAUGUUAUCACGGGAGACACACGGCGGGUGCUAACGUCCGUCGUGAAGAGGGAAACAACCCAGACCGCCAGCUAAGGUCCCAAAGUCAUGGUUAAGUGGGAAACGAUGUGGGAAGGCCCAGACAGCCAGGAUGUUGGCUUAGAAGCAGCCAUCAUUUAAAGAAAGCGUAAUAGCUCACUGGUCGAGUCGGCCUGCGCGGAAGAUGUAACGGGGCUAAACCAUGCACCGAAGCUGCGGCAGCGACGCUUAUGCGUUGUUGGGUAGGGGAGCGUUCUGUAAGCCUGUGAAGGUGUGCUGUGAGGCAUGCUGGAGGUAUCAGAAGUGCGAAUGCUGACAUAAGUAACGAUAAAGCGGGUGAAAAGCCCGCUCGCCGGAAGACCAAGGGUUCCUGUCCAACGUUAAUCGGGGCAGGGUGAGUCGACCCCUAAGGCGAGGCCGAAAGGCGUAGUCGAUGGGAAACAGGUUAAUAUUCCUGUACUUGGUGUUACUGCGAAGGGGGGACGGAGAAGGCUAUGUUGGCCGGGCGACGGUUGUCCCGGUUUAAGCGUGUAGGCUGGUUUUCCAGGCAAAUCCGGAAAAUCAAGGCUGAGGCGUGAUGACGAGGCACUACGGUGCUGAAGCAACAAAUGCCCUGCUUCCAGGAAAAGCCUCUAAGCAUCAGGUAACAUCAAAUCGUACCCCAAACCGACACAGGUGGUCAGGUAGAGAAUACCAAGGCGCUUGAGAGAACUCGGGUGAAGGAACUAGGCAAAAUGGUGCCGUAACUUCGGGAGAAGGCACGCUGAUAUGUAGGUGAGGUCCCUCGCGGAUGGAGCUGAAAUCAGUCGAAGAUACCAGCUGGCUGCAACUGUUUAUUAAAAACACAGCACUGUGCAAACACGAAAGUGGACGUAUACGGUGUGACGCCUGCCCGGUGCCGGAAGGUUAAUUGAUGGGGUUAGCGGUAACGCGAAGCUCUUGAUCGAAGCCCCGGUAAACGGCGGCCGUAACUAUAACGGUCCUAAGGUAGCGAAAUUCCUUGUCGGGUAAGUUCCGACCUGCACGAAUGGCGUAAUGAUGGCCAGGCUGUCUCCACCCGAGACUCAGUGAAAUUGAACUCGCUGUGAAGAUGCAGUGUACCCGCGGCAAGACGGAAAGACCCCGUGAACCUUUACUAUAGCUUGACACUGAACAUUGAGCCUUGAUGUGUAGGAUAGGUGGGAGGCUUUGAAGUGUGGACGCCAGUCUGCAUGGAGCCGACCUUGAAAUACCACCCUUUAAUGUUUGAUGUUCUAACGUUGACCCGUAAUCCGGGUUGCGGACAGUGUCUGGUGGGUAGUUUGACUGGGGCGGUCUCCUCCUAAAGAGUAACGGAGGAGCACGAAGGUUGGCUAAUCCUGGUCGGACAUCAGGAGGUUAGUGCAAUGGCAUAAGCCAGCUUGACUGCGAGCGUGACGGCGCGAGCAGGUGCGAAAGCAGGUCAUAGUGAUCCGGUGGUUCUGAAUGGAAGGGCCAUCGCUCAACGGAUAAAAGGUACUCCGGGGAUAACAGGCUGAUACCGCCCAAGAGUUCAUAUCGACGGCGGUGUUUGGCACCUCGAUGUCGGCUCAUCACAUCCUGGGGCUGAAGUAGGUCCCAAGGGUAUGGCUGUUCGCCAUUUAAAGUGGUACGCGAGCUGGGUUUAGAACGUCGUGAGACAGUUCGGUCCCUAUCUGCCGUGGGCGCUGGAGAACUGAGGGGGGCUGCUCCUAGUACGAGAGGACCGGAGUGGACGCAUCACUGGUGUUCGGGUUGUCAUGCCAAUGGCUUGAAGACGACGACGUUGAUAGGCCGGGUGUGUAAGCGCAGCGAUGCGUUGAGCUAACCGGUACUAAUGAACCGUGAGGCUUAACCUU
rnacentral:rRNA from 1 species